rnacentral:lncRNA from 1 species
CAAUGUCCACAACAAUGCUUUUUACGCUGAAGAGACAUUGCUGAAAUCAGAAAUGCAAGCUAUGCGUGAUUGUAGUCCUUUAUCUGCUCGCCACUGGAUAGUAAGGAACCUUCUUACUCUGGGUCAAUACUUCUAGGCUGUUUGAACUCGCUUUCAUGACUAUUAAUACUAUGGAAACCAGGCGUAAAUAAUAUCUUCUAAAAUUUCUCGUCUUUUGUUUAUUUUUCUUUUAACUGCCAAUUUUCUUCAGGUUUGUUUCCACAUCUUUAUGAAGAUAUAGAUUCUCUUAUAAUUUGCCAGAUUUAGAAAUACAUCGAUAUACUAGUUUAUGUAAUUCUAAGAUUUUCUCUGGCCGCUUUUGAUUUAACAUACAAAAUCUAGAACACGACUUUCAAUAUUUCUAUCUUAUUGUCGUGGUUGAGUAAAUGGUAACAAACAAAAAAUUGGCCCCUUCAUUCCAGGUGCGAAAUACUAGAACUGUGAAUCGAACUGGGCAAUUAACAGGCUUCAAGCUUUUACCUGGCUCAAAUUGUUUGCCAUUAGCUGGUUCAGAGGCCAAGUUUCUUAGAAGAGCGUCUUUCUUGAAGCAUAAUCUUUGGGUGACUCAAUAUUCUCGUGAUG